AAAAAAGGUAAGCUACUAAGAGCGAAUGGUGGAUGCCUUGACUGGUAAAGGCGAUGAAGGACGUACUAGACUGCGAUAAGCUACGGGGAGCUGUCAAGAAGCUUUGAUCCGUAGAUUUCCGAAUGGGGCAACCCAAUGUAUAGAGAUAUACAUUACCUAUAUAGGAGCGAACGAGGGGAAUUGAAACAUCUUAGUACCCUCAGGAAAAGAAAUCAAUAGAGAUUGCGUCAGUAGCGGCGAGCGAAAGCGCAAGAGGGCAAACCCAGUGCUUGCACUGGGGGUUGUAGGACUGCAAUGUGCAAGAGCUGAGUUUAGCAGAACAUUCUGGAAAGUAUAGCCAUAGAGGGUGAUAGUCCCGUAUGCGAAAAACAAAGCUUAGCUAGCAGUAUCCUGAGUAGGGCGGGACACGAGGAAUCCUGUCUGAAUCCGGGUCGACCACGAUCCAACCCUAAAUACUAAUACCAGAUCGAUAGUGCACAAGUACCGUGAGGGAAAGGUGAAAAGAACUGAGGUGAUCAGAGUGAAAUAGAACCUGAAACCAUUUGCUUACAAUCAUUCAGAGCACUAUGUAGCAAUACAGUGUGAUGGACUGCCUUUUGCAUAAUGAGCCUGCGAGUUGUGGUGUCUGGCAAGGUUAAGCAAACGCGAAGCCGUAGCGAAAGCGAGUCUGAAUAGGGCGCUUAGUCAGAUGCUGCAGACCCGAAACGAAGUGAUCUAUCCAUGAGCAAGUUGAAGCUAGUGUAAGAACUAGUGGAGGACUGAACCCAUAGGCGUUGAAAAGCCCCGGGAUGACUUGUGGAUAGGGGUGAAAGGCCAAUCAAACUUCGUGAUAGCUGGUUCUCUCCGAAAUAUAUUUAGGUAUAGCGUUGUGUCGUAAUAUAAGGGGGUAGAGCACUGAAUGGGCUAGGGCAUACACCAAUGUACCAAACCCUAUCAAACUCCGAAUACCUUAUAUGUAAUCACAGCAGUCAGGCGGCGAGUGAUAAAAUCCGUCGUCGAGAGGGAAACAACCCAGACUACCAGCUAAGGUCCCUAAAUCUUACUUAAGUGGAAAACGAUGUGAAGUUACUUAAACAACCAGGAGGUUGGCUUAGAAGCAGCCAUCCUUUAAAGAAAGCGUAAUAGCUCACUGGUCUAGUGAUUUUGCGCGGAAAAUAUAACGGGGCUAAAGUAAGUACCGAAGCUGUAGACUUGCACACAACUUAGAUUAUUUAAGUUUAGAAUAUGAGAAACUAAGUUAUGUUUAGUUAUAUUUUUACUGAUUUUUAUAGAGUAAAGAUAGAAAUAAAACUUAGUAAAAUCAGUAAAAAUAUUCUUAGGCUAAAGUUAAGUAGUUUAAGUUGUGUGCAAGUGGUAGGAGAGCGUUCUAUUUGCGUCGAAGGUAUACCGGUAAGGAGUGCUGGAGCGAAUAGAAGUGAGCAUGCAGGCAUGAGUAGCGAUAAUUAAUGUGAGAAUCAUUAACGCCGUAAACCCAAGGUUUCCUACGCGAUGCUCGUCAUCGUAGGGUUAGUCGGGUCCUAAGUCGAGUCCGAAAGGGGUAGACGAUGGCAAAUUGGUUAAUAUUCCAAUACCAACAUUAGUGUGCGAUGGAAGGACGCUUAGGGCUAAGGGGGCUAGCGGAUGGAAGUGCUAGUCUAAGGUCGUAGGAGGUUAUACAGGCAAAUCCGUAUAACAAUACUCCGAGAACUGAAAGGCUUUUUGAAGUCUUCGGAUGGAUAGAAGAACCCCUGAUGCCGUCGAGCCAAGAAAAGUUUCUAAGUUUAGCUAAUGUUGCCCGUACCGUAAACCGACACAGGUGGGUGGGAUGAGUAUUCUAAGGCGCGUGGAAGAACUCUCUUUAAGGAACUCUGCAAAAUAGCACCGUAUCUUCGGUAUAAGGUGUGGUUAGCUUCGUACUAGGAUUUACUCCGAAAGCGAAGAAACUUACAACAAAGAGUCCCUCCCGACUGUUUACCAAAAACACAGCACUCUGCUAACUCGUAAGAGGAUGUAUAGGGUGUGACGCCUGCCCGGUGCUCGAAGGUUAAUUGAUGGGGUUAGCAUUAGCGAAGCUCUUGAUCGAAGCCCGAGUAAACGGCGGCCGUAACUAUAACGGUCCUAAGGUAGCGAAAUUCCUUGUCGGUUAAAUACCGACCUGCAUGAAUGGCGUAACGAGAUGGGAGCUGUCUCAAAGAGGGAUCCAGUGAAAUUGUAGUGGAGGUGAAAAUUCCUCCUACCCGCGGCAAGACGGAAAGACCCCGUGGACCUUUACUACAGCUUGACACUGCUACUUGGAUAAGAAUGUGCAGGAUAGGUGGGAGGCUUUGAGUAUAUGACGCCAGUUGUAUAUGAGCCAUUGUUGAGAUACCACUCUUUCUUAUUUGGGUAGCUAACCAGCUUGAGUUAUCCUCAAGUGGGACAAUGUCUGGUGGGUAGUUUGACUGGGGCGGUCGCCUCCCAAAUAAUAACGGAGGCUUACAAAGGUUGGCUCAGAACGGUUGGAAAUCGUUCGUAGAGUAUAAAGGUAUAAGCCAGCUUAACUGCAAGACAUACAAGUCAAGCAGAGACGAAAGUCGGUCUUAGUGAUCCGGUGGUUCUGUGUGGAAGGGCCAUCGCUCAAAGGAUAAAAGGUACCCCGGGGAUAACAGGCUGAUCUCCCCCAAGAGCUCACAUCGACGGGGAGGUUUGGCACCUCGAUGUCGGCUCAUCGCAUCCUGGGGCUGGAGCAGGUCCCAAGGGUAUGGCUGUUCGCCAUUUAAAGCGGUACGCGAGCUGGGUUCAGAACGUCGUGAGACAGUUCGGUCCCUAUCUGCCGUGGGCGUAAGAAGAUUGAAGAGAUUUGACCCUAGUACGAGAGGACCGGGUUGAACAAACCACUGGUGUAGCUGUUGUUCUGCCAAGAGCAUCGCAGCGUAGCUAAGUUUGGAAAGGAUAAACGCUGAAAGCAUCUAAGCGUGAAGCCAACUCUAAGAUGAAUCUUCUCUAAGCUCUCUAGAAGACUACUAGUUUGAUAGGCUGGGUGUGUAAUGGAUGAAAGUCCUUUAGCUGACCAGUACUAAUAGAGCGUUUGGCUUAUCUUUAAUAAAGCAU
rnacentral:rRNA from 1 species